rnacentral:misc_RNA from 1 species
UCCGAGUUGACCCCGGCAGUCUCCUAUGAGUCCCCGACAUUACUCGCUGGCAACAUAGGACGAGGGUUGCGCUCGUUGCGGGACUUAACCCAACAUCUCACGACACGAGCUGACGACAACCAUGCACCACCUGUAUAGAGACCUUGCGGGGAGUACAUUUCUGCACUUUUCCUCUAUAUGUCAAGCCUUGGUAAGGUUCUUCGCGUUGCAUCGAAUUAAUCCGCAUGCUCCGCCGCUUGUGCGGGCCCCCGUCAAUUCCUUUGAGUUUCAACCUUGCGGUCGUACUCCCCAGGUGGAUUACUUAAUGCUUUCGCUCAGACGCGUACGGUGUAUUGCACACAUCGAGUAAUCAUCGUUUAGGGCGUGGACUAC